UACGUAGGGUGCGAGCGUUAAUCGGAAUUACUGGGCGUAAAGCGUGCGCAGGCGGUUUUGUAAGUCUGUCGUGAAAUCCCCGGGCUCAACCUGGGAAUUGCGAUGGAGACUGCAAGGCUAGAAUCUGGUAGAGGGGGGUAGAAUUCCACGUGUAGCAGUGAAAUGCGUAGAGAUGUGGAGGAACACCGAUGGCGAAGGCAGCCCCCUGGGUCAAGAUUGACGCUCAUGCACGAAAGCGUGGGGAGCAAACAGG
rnacentral:rRNA from 1 species